ACAGCAGCCUUGGUGCCACUGGGGUAGAAGCAUCCGCGUCUCCGGCAUUCGGUGUCAGCAUCUACAGUUAGACCUUCCCAUCCUUAUGGGCUGGGCCCCUCUGCUGUCCUCGAGCUGCAUCCAACACCGGGGAAAUGAGUCCUGACGACCGAGGGACGUCACCAAGAGUGUCACCACCCACACCGAGCAGCCACAGGCUCCAUGUCCAGCCCCUCCUUCCCCCGGGAGGGUGAGCCCAGGAGGUGAGAGCAGAGAUCGGGGCCUGGAGGUGCGGCCUGGGAAGCCUGUUGUGGGUGCCGCCUCCCUGAGCCACAACCUGUCCUGGGGAUCGGUGGACGCUCCGUGGCUCUGCAGAGCUGCUUGUACCACCCUUGCUGGAGGAGGAGGUUCUCGCAGUUUGCUUCCGUUUGUGGAUGAGAGACAGGUGGGUUGGUUGGUUCUUCCCAUCAUGGCAUCACAGCCAUUCCACGGGAGGUGAUGGCAGCUGAUUGUUCUGAGUCUCUGCUAAGUGGAAUCACCCCAAGACCUCGAGUGCAUGGACCCACUGGGCUCUGGGCCCCGCAGAGACGUGCCCAGGCCUGGAUGUGCUGACUGCUGGGCUGUCCCACACAGCUGGAGCCAGGAGCCCACAGUGGGCAGCAGGACCUUGACUUCAGGCGGGCAGAGCCGGGCAUCUCCUGUCUCCUCCCUGCCCUGGCUGGGAUAGGUUUUUAGGAGUAACUUUGCUAGAGGGAAGAUUCUGAGACAUCUGCGAUCCUGAGCUGCUCCGGUGGGCACCUGCCAGAAGACAGGAGCCCAGGCUGCAGGAGUCGCUGGUGGAGGAGGGGUGAGGCGGCGCCCCUGCCUCUGUGGUUCUGCAUGGGGCAGGGCCCCUGCUGCUCCGGGCGGGGAAAGAAGUUCUGGAGGCUGAAAAUCAAGAUCAGGAUGCUGGCGUCUGACAAGGGCUUUCUUGCUGCAUCCUCACGUGGCGGAAAGUGGAAGGGCAAGAGAGAGCGAACCCAUCCUGAAAACCCCAGAUUACAGAGGCACUAAUCCAUUUAUGUGGGUGGAGCUCCCAUGACCCAAACACCUCCAAAGGCCCCACCUCCUGACAAUGUUGCACUGGGGAUUACAUUUCCAACACAUGAAUCUGGGGAGACAGAUUCAGACCACAGCAGAUGUCAAGGCUGGUUCAAAGGACAAUGUGAAGAACAAAGGCAUGCUGAAAUGAAUUUGAUAAUAGAUGCAAACUUGGGUAACAUCCUACAGGACAAUAAGGUGUAAGUAAUACUUGGGAUCAUCUUUCCUUAGACAUGAGCAUCAGUUGCAUCUACAGUGAACAACACUGAUUACAUUGCCAUAGAGGAAGCUUUGUGUUGCUCUCAGAUAAGAAGCAUGCACACUGCUGUAUUCUCUACAUGAACUUCUAUUCUACAGUUGUAAAAUAGUUCAGUCAAUAGAAAGCCAACCACAGAGACACACCUAGUGGUUUGUUUUUGCCUAUUUUUAAGUUUUUAAUAUUUUUUAUAACAGAUAUAACAUUGAAUCCAUAGUGAAGUUAAUCACUUUUUAAUUACCCAUUUUUCUAAUAAUUAAAUCAACAAGGGAGUCUCCUUUGGGUACCAAUCAAUCUCUAACCUUUCUAAACUUCUUGUUUGAAAAAGAGAAAGGCAGAAGUGGGCCUCAAGCAUGACGCCUUCAACUGACUGUACAAGCUAGCUGCAGUUUGAUGAUACUGUUGAAUUUUCUUUAUUAUAUUGUUACCUUUUAUUAAUGGCAAUGGAUAUAUUAGUUUUCCAUUUUUGGUUGAGAUAUGAGGCUUCCUUUAAAACAUAUUUAAGUAAAAAAGAAAAGUGAGUCAAUGUGUUUAAUUAAACAGCCAAAAGUAUUCAAAUGAUGAAUGAUAUAGAUGGGAUGAAUAGAAAGUCAUAGAAAAUUUAUGGUGAUCACUGAAGGUUGAGAAAAACCCAAUCUGAUGAGCACUCUGCUCCAUGUCAGGUCCUGCCUGUUGUGCUUGUCUCCCAGACUGUCUUUUAACUCUCACCUUCUUACAAAUAGUUGAAUCUUAAUAGCUAUUAUUACCUUACAUUUAACAAAAUAGGCAUAUGCAUAUUUUUUCAUUUUCUCCCUCUCCACUAAGGAAAACUUCAGAGAGAGAAAGAAUUUCUCCAGGGUCAAGCAUCCAGCUGAGCAUUCCAGUAGAGAAUGGCAGUGCUGGAAUCCCCCGCUGUUGUCCGGCUUCAAGACUCUUUUGCACUGUCUCCCAGCCCUGCUCCCAUGGGAGUUGUGGAGAAUUCCCAGGGUGAAGAAAGAACCUGGGGAUAGAGCCUCCUUUUUUCAUUUUUUCUUUCUUUUUUUUUUUUUUUUUGCGAUGGUCUUGCUCUGUCACCCAGGCUUGGAGUGCAGUGGUGUGAUCUUGGCUCACUGCAGCCUCAAUCUCCCAGGUUCAAGUGAUCCUUCCUCCUCAGUCUCCAGAGUAGCUGGGACUACAGGUAUGCACCACCAUGCCUGGCUAAUUUUUGUGUUUUUAGUAGAGAUGGGCUUUCAUCAUGUUGGCCAGACUGGUCUCAAACUCCUGACCUCAGGUGAUCCACCUGCCUCAGCCUCCCGAAGUGCUGGGAUUAUAGGCAUGAGCCACUGUGCCCGGCCUCAUUUUUCUUUUCCUUUUUACAGAAAUGGAAAUCACAUGGUAGGUCAUAAGGAGCUGACAGGGCUGGAGUUCCAGUGAGUAUCUGCCCCGGCAGUGCGGCAGCAGACGGGAAGGGUGGGAGGUCAUCUGAGCUGGUAGGGUGAGAACAAAUAUAAAUCUCAGGGGGGAUCCACAAGGGAGCCCAUGUCUUUGGUGCCACACAAAUGCAGUAAGAGCUGUGGACACCAGGGAAUACCAGGGAGUGUUUAAAAGCCCCACAGGCAGAACACACGCAGAGAAAGCAGGAGACUAGGCACUGUGGGUUCUUGGGAAAGAGCUGAUUUUAGUUGCAAAAGCAGAGGAAACCCCAGACAUUGCAUGGCUUUAGGCUUUAGGCUUUAGCCCCACCACCCUCACAAGUCUUCUGUCUCCAGGGGGCCAUCAGUGCCUCAGUUCCACUCGGUGCAGACCCCAGGGUUCUUCCCACCCCUGCAAGCCACCCAUCAGGGUGAACUGAGAGAUCAGCAGAGUCACUUACAACGAAGGGGAAUUGUUCUGGGCAUUGGUUAGUAAACAGGAGAGCAAAAGGGGAGAAGAAAAUUGUGUACAGGCGUUGAGCAUCUCUAGCCGAAGAAGGUGAGGCAUAGAGGUGUCUUACCACCAGGAACAGAUCUGAGUCAUGCAGCACCAAAAUACGUAUUUGAGUCAUGGCAUCAAAACGUUCCUGGUGGUGAAUUCAUGUCCGUGCGGGUCUGCAGCAAUCUCAAUUCUUGCCUCCUCAGAAGAAAGAAUUCGACUGAGGGGCAUGAGGCAGAAAGAGAGAUCGGAGCCAGUUUCAGAACAGGAGUGAAAGUUUAUUAAAAGGCUUUAGAACAUGAAUGAAAGGAAGGAAAGGAUACUUGGAGAAGGACCAAGCAGGCAUCUUGAAAGGCAAGUGCUUUUUUUUUUUUUUUUCAUUUUUUAACCCCUUCCUAAUGUCACUGGAAUAAGAGGCCUGUCCCAGACCCCAAGAGCGGGUUCUUGGAUGUUGGAUGAGGAACAAUUCCAGGUGAGUGGCAGAGUAUAGUAAAGUUAAAAUCGUUUAUCAGAGACCACUCGGUUACAGAGUAGGAUGUCCUCCAAAAGCAAGAGAAGGAACGCGCACACCUUAAAUACGAUUCUUAUUUAUAUAGGUUAACAGAGCUAAGAAGAGAGGUCUUUUGUGCUUUAUUACAGAGGCUGGUGAUCAGCUUCUGACAGGCUAUUAGUAUUAUUUUCCUAUGUUACUACUGAUUUCAGCAAGGAUUUACGAAUGUACUAUUAACCUUAAAUCAAAACCUACUCUUAAACUAAGAAUGCUUUUUGUUCUUAAAAUAUUAAGAGAUUGCCAUAAAAUUCUGCGUCUUUAUUUAGUUAGCAUCAUUAACUUGUUCCCUCAACCAUAAACAUCUUGUGCCCAAGAGUGCCUACCCCCUGGGGGUGUAACCCUGCAGGCAUGGCUAUAUCCCACAUUUAUUAAAG
rnacentral:lncRNA from 1 species